rnacentral:rRNA from 1 species
GAUUGUUGCUGCCGGAACAGGAGAGUUUGAGGCUGGUAUUUCAAAGAAUGGUCAAACAAGAGAACACGCUUUACUCGCAUUCACCCUUGGUGUCAAGCAAAUNUGCCUGUUUAUCAAAAACAUAGCUUCUUGAAAUUAUAAGAAGUGACGCCUGCCCGGUGUAUAUAUAAACGGCCGCUUUAAAGUGCUAAGGUAGCAUAAUAAUUUGUCUUUUCAUUGGAGACUAGUAUGAAUGGCAUAACGAAGCUCAACUGUCUCCUUAUAUUAAAUAAAAAUUGGUUUAAAAGUGAAAAAACUUUUAUUUCUAUGUAGGACGAGAAGACCCUGUAGAGUUUUAGUAAAAUUGGUAUUAAAUAUUAUAACCAAUUUACUUUUAUUGGGGCAAUAAAAGAACAAAAAAAAUCUUAAUAAAAAUAUAUACCCUCCAAGAGAACAAAUCAAACUACCUCAGGGAUAACAGCGUAAUUUUACCAAAGAGUUCUAAUCGAAGGUAAAGAUUACGACCUCGAUGUUGGACUAAGGAAACUUUUAUAUGCAGGAGUAUAAAAAAGUGAGCCUGUUCGGCUUUUAAAUCCUUACAUGAUCUGAGUUCAAACCGGAGA